UUCGAUUCCUCAAUGAUAAUAGACAGAUUAUUUAUCUAACGACGAAAAUAUCAUUAUUCUUAAGCAACUCCAAGACCUUAAAAAUUAAUGACUUGGUCAAAUAGCAAAGAGAUGGAAGGUUCUGUUGGUUUUGAAGCAUUUGGAGCUGGAAAUACUUUUCUAGUUUCGGCAAUAAGAGGGACAAGGUUACAGUUUGGGAUGAUAAUGUUAGGCAUUGUAAAAUUUCAGCCACAAACUCAAGGACCAAAGGGAUCACUACUUUGUUAAUUCCCUUGGA